CUCCAGAUGUUGCUGAACUACAACUCCCAUCAUCCUUGGUCUUUUGUCAUGAUUGUUGGGGUGGAGGGGAAUUGUACCUCAGCAACAUCUGGAG